AUGCUUCCUCGGAAUAUCGGCGUUGAUGUCGAGUAUACCAGGGAAGACAAACCUCCGCAAAUUGCUGCAGUUCUGCAAUUAUGCGUGGAGGAUCUCGUCCUGGUAUACCACAUCACCGCGGCAACCAAAUGGCCCAAGGAACUUCGCCCGCUCCUGCAGGAGAAGAAGUUGUACACCUUUGUUGGCUUCUCCAUUGGAGGCGACAAGGAGAAGCUGAAGUUGUCUGGUUUAGAGAUCAACCCCGACAAGUACGUCGACUUGCAGCGCAAAUGGAGAGUUCCAAACAAUGGAAAGAAGUGGCAGUCUUUGGCUGAGUUUGCAGGCAGCCUCAUCCACCCAUCCUACAAGGAAAUGAAGCAGAAGAUCGACAGGAAAUCGGACCACCUACUAUGGGGGGACAGCCCACUGCCAAACAAGCUCAUCGAGUACGCCGUGAAAGAUGCGUACGUCUCCUACGAGGCAUGGAAGAAAAUCGAAAUCACCAAAGAAGGUUUGGAGCUAUGGCAAGAGGCGGAGGAUCAUUGGGAUGACCCCUACUACUGGGGAUAUUGA
rnacentral:rRNA from 1 species